rnacentral:lncRNA from 1 species
UAAAUAUAUAACGGGAAAAAUACAAUCAGAUUUCAACACUCCAAAAAGCUCAAAGUAUUACAAUUGUAACAUAUGUAUUUGAAGUUCAGCAAAACUGCAAAUUCAUAAUGGCACGUGUCCCAAAAAACAACACAAAAAAAUGGUGCAGGUAAUGGGAGCCACGAGCCGUUCAAAAUAAUAUGAUGGAAUAUUCAAUUCCAGUACCUACUAGGUCCGCUGAAUGAAGUCUUUUUUGUUGACAUGACAGUAAAGGUUAUGCCAUGAGAAGAUACACUCUCCUUUGUCCGCUAUCAUAGAGAAGCUACUUCGCAGCAUAUCUUUCCAUCUGAUCCUAAAACAUUCUUCCCAUUGAAAUGCUUUUUCUCUCUCUCUCUUAAAUUCUCAUCGGUCAGUCCUACUGUUAAUGCCCUCUUUAAGAUCUCCCCAAAUCCACCUAUUUUGUUCUAAACCCUAGAAGAGGUGAACAUAUACAUAUAUCUGCACAAAAAUGUACCAUUGAAGCAAUUUUACUGCAAAAGACAUUGUAAGCAUGUCAAAGUUGACAUCAACCGCACCUCAAAACCCAAGAGAGAAGCUUGACCACCCGAACAACUCAACCCAGGAGAGGGAGCAGGAUGAUGUUUUAGAUCAAAAUUUUGAAUCCAGGUAGAUUAACUUUAGAGCUGCUCAAAUUAUUCUGUUCUGUUUCAGGGUUGAAAAUCAACAAAGCUAAGUGUUAUUUGGCUGGAAUAAAUUCAGAUUGUGAGAAAUUAAAUAGAUUGGCGGAUUCUUGGGGUUGUGAGGUAGGUAGCUGGCCUAUAAAGUAUUUGGGACUCCCUCUUGGGGGUAGGCCAAGAGCACUCAAGUUUUGGGAUCCAGUGGUAGAUAAGAUGGAAAAAAGACUUCAAAGUUGGAAGAAGGCCUUCUUAUCCAGAGGAGGUAGAUUAACUUUGAUUCAAUCUGUUUUGGGAAGCUUGCCGACCUACUACAUGUCUCUGUUCAAAAUGCCUUGCGGGGUGAUUGGACGCCUAGAAAAACUAAUGAAAGGAUUUUUGUGGGAAGGUGUGGAGGAAGGAAAGAAAAACAACCUGGUAAAAUGGGAGAUAGUUAUUAAAAGUAAAGAGGAAGGAGGUUUAGGGGUGGGGAAUUUGAGGAAUCGGAAUGAAGCAUUACUUGCUAAGUGGUUGUGGAGAUUCCCAAAGGAACCUCAUUCUCUCUGGCACAAAGUGAUAAGAAGCAAAUAUGGGCUACAGGAUAACGGAUGGAACGCAUUUCCUCCGAUAAGGGGUUCAAGCCGUAGCCCAUGGAAAGAUAUAUCGAUUGGUUCCCAAUUGUUUCUUCACUGCUGUAAGUUCGAGGUGGGCAACGGGGAGAGGGUGAGGUUUUGGGAGGAUGGGUGGUUAGAUGGAGGACCAUUGAAAGAGCAAUUUCCUAGAUUAUUCUUGCUAUCGAGGAAGCACAAUCAGAACAUUUCAAGCUUUGUAGAUCUUUCUAACCAAUUCUUUAAGUUGGAAUUUUUGAUUUCAGGAGAAAUUUGAAUGAGGCGGAGAUAGAAGAGGCGGCUAGAUUAUUACAGAAAGUGGAAGAGGUCCGAUUGUCUCAAUCAAGAAUGGAUAACAGAAGGUGGAAAAUGGAAGCAUCAGGAUUGUUCACAUGCAAAUCCUAUGUUUUCCUUCUUGAGUAACAAUGGGAUGAUGCAAUACUUCCAACCCCAUUCACAGAUUUGGAAAUCCAAAGUUCCUCCGAAGGUUAAGAUUCUUGUAUGGCUGGCGGCCAAAGGGAAGCUCAACACUUGUGACCAAAUUCAAAGGAGAAGCCCUUUUAUUUGCUUAUCCCCACAAUGGUGCAGUUUGUGCAAAGCAAAGGAGGAGAGAGUGUAAACCACAUUUUUCUCCAUUGCUCUUACACGAUUCAGCUGUGGUGGAAACUGUUUCAGGAGGUUAGAGCUAGUUGGGUCAUUCCAAAGGGUUGUUUCGAGCUUCUAAGCACCAAGUUUCAGGCCCUAGGAAGUGGGAGGAAAGCUAAAGCUUUGUGGGGUUGUCUGGUCUCGGCAGUUUUUUGGAACAUUUGGCUGGAGCGUAACAAAAGAAUUUUUGAGGAUUAUACAGGUGUGGGGGUAGAAGUACUUUGGGGAAGAGUAAAUAUUGGGCAGCCCUUUGGGCUUCAGUCUCAAAUGUUUUUAAUAACUACUCUAUUUCUCAAUUACUGUGGGAUUUGUUAGCAGCAGUAAAGUGAGUUAGGUCUAGCUAAUGUUGCUGUAGCCAAAUCCUAGUGAGAGUUUUUUCUUGUUUCUUGUUAAUGGUGGAUUUCUUAUCCACUCCAGUGUAUUUCUCUUUUCUUCUAUAAAAUGUUUUGUUUCUUCUCAAAAAAAAAAUUUUGAAUCCAGGUAAGGCAAAUUGAAUAGAUUAGGUUUUGGGAUAAAAGGAAUUUUAAAUGUAAUGAAAUUUUUUUACUGAAGGAAUACCAAUUUCUGGUUUAGAAUCAGGUACAAGACCUAAGAAAAAAAUGUAAAAUAGAAAAUAAGAAAGGAUGUUUUGGUGCUGGCCACCCAGUUCUUACUUUGUCCGCUCCUUUUACACGGGUCUGCAUAAGACCAGUUAAUGAAACUUUUCAGUUGGGACCCACUUACUUAAUCCCCUCGUAGAAUAAGAACCAGUGUUACCCAAGGUGGAAUAUACCUCUUAUUCAAGACAAUCCCAGCUAAGCCCAGGUAUAAAGGUGUACCAACGAGCCCUAAGUGGUACCAACGAGCCCUAAGUGUGCUCUGUAACACCUCAAGAAUCACCUAUUUCUUCUAACAGAUUUUGUUCCAAAACUAUUUUCAAACAAAAUAUAUCCGUAUCUUCAUAUCAAUGCCCUUCAAACUUAGCAAAUAUAGAAAUAUAUAAAUGCAGUAAUAAAUGGAAACUACAAUUUAGGGAAACUCCCAAUUAUUAAAUAAUCAAUUCCUCAUAUUCCCGGACAUGGCAAAGCGGAAACUUUAACUCAAGAGCAACCUCAAAAUGUCAGUGUGAAACAGUAUUAGCCAAAAACAAGUCAGUAUUAAGCAAUUGCAAUUCAUUUUACAACUACACACUCUAAAUUCACAUAACACGGAUUCGAUACAAACAUUCAUACAAUAAUAACCCCAAAAACUAGCUCCUACACUUACACUAGAAACAAUUCAAACAAUCAAAA